AAACAACAUCUUUGGAAGCAAAAAAUGCAGGAAGAGUUGCUUGUCCUUGGUCUUCAAAUAAAUACAGCAAAAAUCAAAGCAAACAACUGUGGAGCUAAAUUCUGUGAUGCCAGCUUCAGAAAAAUCCCUUAGUGCCCUAGAAACACUGGACAAAAUUCACAGUGCAGAACUCAGCAAAAAUAAAUAGUACUAAUGAUGCCAAGAGUGAGACGUUUCAGAACAGGAUACGGAAGAUGCUUUGGAUUCUGGCCUAAAGCCACUCUUAGCCAUAGGGAAAUUUAAAGCCAGGGAAGUAAAGGAGGAGUUCAUCAGGACCACGGAUUCUGAAAUUGAGGACAGCCGCAACUCAGCUGCUGCACAAAGAGUUGAUUCAGCAUUAAUACAGCUGCGUGAACAAAACCGUCUGGGAGAUGAGAGGAGCAACUGGCUGGAUGAAAGCGUGCAUGAAUGUAGUGGCUCAGCCACUGACCGACAAUACAUUUCUCUGGUAAGAGCAGGGCUAGCAGGCUCCUCCCCCUUUCUUUGCUAGUAACGUUAGUAUUUCUGGUAACAUUAAUGGGCAAACUGUGGGUUGUGGGGGUUGGUUUUGGUUUUGUUUUGGUUGUUGUUCCUUCCCUUGCCCCUCCCCCCCCCCAGCAAAGUAAUGGCCUGACUUCUGGUGUGUCUCUUUAAUGUAAGAGACUGUGACUUCUGAGGAAGAGGUAUGUUGUCAUGAGGUGACUCGGAUUUGGUAAUUCCAUCUUUUCUGCAGAAAGGUUUACCCAGAAGUGUUACAAACGCUCCUGCCUGGAACACCAGGCCGAGAUGCCUGACCGGAGCAGGAGCCUGCAGAGGCUCCUGGUGUAACUGGCCACUGGGACCAUCGCUGCUUGCUCAGCAGUUGGAAUGAUUUCUGUAACCCUUCUAUUCUGCAGGACAUCGCUUAUUCCCGUGAUAAGGUAUGACAUAUUCGUCUCUCAGUACUCCAUAAUAGUAUCACUUACGUUUCUAUAUUGCAUUUGUUGAAUAUUUUCAGACCUGUAAGUGACUAAAAUUGACAUUUUUUUUUUAAGCUAUCAAAAAAUC
rnacentral:lncRNA from 1 species